GGACUGCAUUGCAAAAACAUGUAAAUUCUAUGACAAAUUUAAAAAGAAAUAAAGCAUAAAUAAGGAUCAAUUUGAAGGUUUGCGUGAAGACGAAGGGCUAGUCACGGAAUUGGACCUUUCGGAGCUAAAACAUGGAUCCAGUUCAUGGAUUAGGUGUGCGCAAUGAUUUUACCCUUUUCUACACGGCACCUUUUCAAAUUCAACGUAAAGUCCAGCUAAAAAAAAACUAAAACCAAACACUCAAUUACUUUAACAAAAUCAAAAGAAAGAAAAAAAAAACUAAACCCUCCCUAUUCAUUCGGCUAAAACAUGAGCCUUAUGCCCAGUCACCACAUGCCACCGUUAAAUCCGGUGAUCCACCAUGCGCGAAGAGAGUCUUCGACUCUGCUCAUGCCAUAUGCGGAGACUCACUCGCUAUUCAAUAUCAGGGAAAACAAAAGGAGUAAACCCGACCCUCUUUUGAUCCGAUCUCGAAGGAGUCAAGAUUCCCGCAAUGAACCAUAGGUAUGGAGCCAGCUGGCUGAUGGCGCGCGUGGGACUGGCCGGAGGCAGUAGCGAUGCUGGAAGCUGCUGGAAACCUGUUCGGCGCAAGGGAACCUUAGGGUUUCUGCUGAAAAUUUGGUUUAAUUUUGGGCCAUUGGGUGCUGGGCUAUUGGGUUAAUUUGAGUUUAAUGUUUGGGUCGGAUUGCUGGGUUUAUUUUAAUUUGGGCUCUGUUGUAACAAAAGGGACUUGGAUUAUUAAUAUUUGGUUUUAUUUAUUUAUUUAUUUAUUUUAUUUUUUGGUUUUUGUUAUGGGCCGUGGCGAGAUGGGCCUAUUACAAUUAUGAAAUUUUUAUAGUUUUAAGUUUGAGUCUUAUAAUAUACAAAUGUUAUGUUGGGAUUUUCUUUUAAA